GCUCGUAGCAGGUAUUUAAAAACAGCAACGGGUGAAGCAGACGCGUCUUCCUCUAGCUCCGAGAUGAUUUCCUCUUCAGUAAUGUCACUUUCAAAAUCCGUUAUCACACGCUUUACUUCACAGAGUGGACUUUUUGAGACGAAGAAUGGGCUUCAUGAAGAAUGAGAUGGAUAACACUUGGAUUGAGCAACCGGAGUUCAACAAUGUCACCAGGAAAGAGGUAGCACUUAAUCACCCAGACAAACACGCCAUUACCCUGCGGAUCCUCAGAACACCGAGCCGAAUUAAAUAUGCAGUUAGUGUUGAUGCAGCCUGCUUGCAAUAAUGUAUUGUGUCGCAAACAAGAAGAAUGGCCACUUCCCUGCCUCCUGGUGCAGAGGGGGCCCGCAGUGACAUGGAGGCUCAAGUAUAUGGAUGGCCUGAGGAGGUCUCCAUCAUUCAUAAAACAUGCCGCUGCCGCACGCCACCGAAUUGAUCUUGCAAAAGAAGCAGGGUGGCAUGCCGACCACUUCAUUAGUCUUCCACGGCCACAAAUCACACUCGCCGUAGCCUCCAAGGGACCUGACGUUACCGCAAACUUCACCGUAAAACGCACUUGCCUGGGUUUCGAUUCUGCGCUCCCAAAUAUUUUUACGAAAAGUUGCACGCUGACCGCAUUGUUUAUGGUCAACUGGUGCCGGUCUGAGAAAAUACAUGUGAAAAGAAUGACAACAGAGACCAAACCCCACAAAAUAAGUAAUGGAUACAAUUUUUGAUCUCUGUAAUUGAUUGCUCAUUUUGGGUGUCAUGGGACGCUUCUCCAUAAGACAAUGUCAAAUAUUGAUGAUAUUUCUCUUCUCCAUCCUCUGAAUGAAUUGCCCCACUCACUGAGGCUUUUUGAUGAAUGCUUUUUAUUGCCUUUUCUGUUGUUGUUGCUGGAGCAGCUGGAAGAAACUGGGCCUGGUCCUCUCAGACUCUGCGAACCAAAUUGCCCUGAGAGGACCGCGACCAUUAUAGUCCACAAAUCAACGCCGCGCCGCCUUUUAUUAUGCAUCUGUUCUUUGCUUUUCGAGAGUUUAAUGGCAUUAAAAUGCAUCCACAUUUCUGUUCUGAAACAAUCCCACGAUGAAGCAAAAGUCAAUUUUAUGCCUAAUGUUGACUAAACGAAAGAGCAACAGUAUUAAUUUGUGCAAUUUCACAAUGUCCAAUGAAACCAAUCUUAUCCAAUCAGCAUAAAAUGUUUCUCGGAACGCAAAGACCGCCAACAAAAGACCGAGCAGAUAGCGAUCACUGAUGGAGAGCGUCGAAAGGGGCCCGCAUAGGCUUGUAAAUGUAAAAAGAAAAUAGAAUGUCUUUCUUGCUCUCUUCUGCUUUUGUCUGUCUGUUUCUCUGUGUCUCUCAGAAAACAAACUGUUCUUGCAUUGUGUUGUCUCUUUAAAGUUGCAUGCUUACCCCUCAGCCCCCCCAUUCCUGCACAGUCUAUUCCCUUAACUGUCAUGCUGCCAGGCCUAAAAGCAUUUCUUGUGAAAUGUUCAACAUCAGAAAUGGUUUGUGUGCAUGUCAGUUUGGCCUACCAAAAAAUCCUAACAGUUAGGCCAAAGGCACCAUCGGCACGUUCCCCUGUGAAGUUUUGCUUGUGUUUUAAAGGCCACUGGUUGUAGCUAAGCCAGUAUUGCUGUCUAAAGCUUAUUUAUGAUCUCACUGCUAUAUUAAGAUCUCAUCAGGUUAACACGACCUACGACCCUGUCUAUUUUUAGCACAGAUAUUGUGAUUGAGACAUUUUAAAUGACAGUGAAGCUACAGUAAUCAUAUCCUGUAUGCAUAGCAUCCAUCUGAAACACAAUCAAAUACGCUUUGGCCUGAACGGAAAAAUCUGAACUUUUUCAUAAACGCACAUAACUCUCUCUCCGCAUCCGCCCCUCUCUCACAAAACUCCCCGUUUGACUUGUGAAACACGAUGAACACAACGAAGAUAUGCAUGAAUAAUUCAGUCCACUCGGGCUGUAGUGGGUGAGCAUGUAAGCAUGCGAGUGGGUGAAGGUGGGGGACGGCAAACAAGUCCCUCCUGGUUAAGAUUUUUUGAAGGACGGCCCGAAGUGCUCAGCGCAGCGUUACAAGUGCUCCGCGUCCGAGGGGAAUUAGGAGCAUCUCCAUUACCAGUGCGGAGCGAUUUGUUUGGAAUUAUGCCAAGCUGCAAAUAUCUGGACCUUUGGGGACAGCGAACAUCCGAUCCCACAGCGAAGCAAUCUUUACAAGUUUGCUUUAUUCCCUCUCUUCGCUCACCAGACUCAUCUAUCCUCAGAUGUGUCCUUCUAAAUCCUUUAUGUUACAGAUCUUUCUUUUGAAUCAAAGAGCAUCUUUGCCUUACAAUUCAUAAUGCUAUAGCAAUGUCAAGGUCUUUAAUUUGUAUCCUAGGGAACACCCAUAUACUCCUAAUGUGUAUUUGCUGGAUCCUGAAUGGUGCUCCUGUACCUCAACUGUGUUAGCAGCGGAAAAGAUUAUGGGUUCGAUUACAAGGGAAAAUAAAUACUGAUAAAAUGUACACAUUGAAUGCACUGUACAUCACUUUGGAUAAAAGUCUCUGCCAGACGCCUUAAUGUAAAUGCACAGUUAGUUUGCUUUGGAGUGAAGUAGCUCCCAAAUGCCUAAACGCAAUUUAAAUAUGCAAAUUAAAGGUGCACUGUGUAACUUUUUGAAGGAUCUAUUGACAGAAAUGCAAUAUAAUACACAUAACUAUAUUUUCAGUGGUUUAUAAAGACCUUCUUUACAUACACCACAGGUCCCCUUAUAUGGAAGUCGCCAUUUUGAACCGCCAUGUUUC